AGGGGUCAGAAACCUGGUUUCGGCCAGUGGAUCAACCCCAGAGAAAGUCACGGCUAACUUUCGUGCCAGCAGCCGCGGUAAUACGAAGGUGGCAAGCGUUAUUCGGAAUCAUUGGGCUUAAAGGGCACGCAGGCGGAACAGUGUGUGUUGUGUGAAAUCUCCCGGCUUAACCGGGGAAUUGCACAGCAAACUGCUGUUCUUGAGGCAGGUAGGGGUGCAUGGAACUCUUGGUGGANCGGUGGAAUGCGUAGAUAUCAAGAGGAACGCCAGAGGUGAAGACGGUGCACUGGGCCUGUCCUGACGCUGAGGUGCGAAAGCGUGGGGAGCGAACGGGAUUAGAUACCCCGGUAGUCCACGCCGUAAACGAUGUCUACUAGGUCGUGGGUGUUCUGACACAUUCACGGCCGGAGCAAAAGUGUUUAGUAGACCGCCUGGGGAGUACGGCCGCAAGGUUAAAACUCAAAUGAAUUGACGGGGGCUCACACAAGCGGUGGAGCAUGUGGAUUAAUUCGAAGCAACGCGCAGAACCUUACCUGGGUUUGACAUGCUUGUAUGCCUUCUCUGAAAGGAGUUAGGCUGCCUUCGGGUGAAACUUGCACAGGUGCUGCAUGGCUGUCGUCAGCUCGUGUCGUGAGAUGUCGGGUUAAGUCCUUUAACGAGCGAAACCCUUGCCGUUAGUUGCCAGCGAGUAAUGUCGGGGACUCUAACGGGACUGCCGGUGUUAAACCGGAGGAAGGUGGGGAUGACGUCAAGUCCUCAUGGCCUUUAUGCCCAGGGCUUCACACGUGCUACAAUGGCAAUUACAGAGCGACGCGAUACCGCGAGGUGGAGCAAAUCGCAAAAAAAUUGCCUCAGUUCGGAUUGCAGGCUGGCAAUUCGCCUGCAUGAAGUCGGAAUCGCUAGUAAUCGCGUAUCAGCAAUGACGCGGUGAAUGUGUUCCUGAGCCUUGUACACACCGCCCGUCAAGUGAUGGAAGCCGGGAGUACCCGAAGUCGGGUUGCUAACCUUUGGGAGGCGCCUGCCGACGGUAAG
rnacentral:rRNA from 1 species